AAACUUUAUCCACUGGUCUCUUUUUAGAAAUACCCGCCGCGGAAGGACAUGGUCAGAGCCGUCUCCAUCCAAACAGGCUACCUGAUCCAGGGGAAAGGAGCCAAGAACUGCAGCCUCACCUACCUAGCUCAGGUAGACCCCAAAGGUUCUUUGCCAAAGUGGGUGGUGAAUAAAUCUUCUCAGUUCCUGGC